GUAGUACUCCCUCUGUCCCAAAUUUCUUGUCUUAGAUUUGUCUAGAUACGGAUGUAUCUAAUACUAAAAUGUGACUUGAUACAUCCGUAUCUAGACAAAUCUAAGACAAGGAUUUUGGGACGGAGGGAGUAGUAA
rnacentral:pre_miRNA from 1 species